ensembl:lncRNA
UUGAGAGGGGGACACCUGUGCCACCGAAGAACAGCAGGGGAGGGCAGUGCAGGGGGAGCUGACGGCAAGGCACCUGAGGCAGAGGGAGGCAGCCCGUGUGUCUGUGUGUGAGGGUGUGUGACAGUGUGUGUGUGUGAGAGUGUAUAUGUGUGAGAGUGAGUAUAUGUGUGUGAGGCUGAGAGUGUGUGAGUGUAUGUGUGUGACUGUGUGUGACAGUGUGAGGGUGAGAAUGUGAGUUAUGUGUGAGAGUGUGAGUAUGAGAGUGUGUGACUGUGUAUAUGACAGUGUGUAUGAGACUGUGAGUGUAUGUGUUGUGUGAGAGUGUGAGUUGUGUGAGUGUGUAUGUGUGAGAGUGUGUGUUUGAGUUGUGUAUGUGAGUGUGAGUUGUGUGAGUGUGACAGUAUGUGUGACUGUGUGAGAGUGUGUCUGUGUGAGUGUGUAUUAUGUGUGAGCGUGUGUGUGAGCACAGAUGCAUCUACACACAGACACAACCAGAGCCCACAGUGGCAUCAGAGACAGCGUUCUGACCACACAGCAGUGACAGCGUCAGAGGUCAGCAGCAGGUGCAGGAUGUUGUCCCUGGGCCUCACCUGUCACCUGUGAGCUCCUGGGACUUGGUGGUGCUGAGGAAGGAGCCUGGGCAAGAGAGCGUGCCCCCUGUGUCUUGACUCACCAUAGUAUCCCCGUGUGAUCAUAGCAUCCUUGUGUCACUGUGCCCCGUGUCACCAUAGUGUCCCCGUGUCACUACAAGCUGUGCUGUUUUCCCUUGAGUCCAAGGACACGACACUCUAGCCCCUUCAGUGACCCCCCCCUAGACACUCUGUCCCUCGAGGCCCUGUGAGGGAGUCUGCCUGCUGAGGGCGCCAGGGAGCCCUGCCUCACUGCCAUCGGAGCACCUUCGGUCUGGAUCUUUGACACGUGGCCAGAGCACCAGGUCUUCACUGGAGGCCGUCUGGACGUCUGGACGACUGAGUCUGGGGCUGAGCCGGGUGCCCUCCAGACCGGGCCGGCACCGCCUGAGGUUCCGCGAGCUGCAGGAGCCUAGUCUCGGAUCACAACCUCGGGGGCCUGAGUCCCAGAAUAUCCUGACUCUGACUUUCUGUGACUGCUCGCCCGGCAGCACCUGAGGGACGUGACCGCCGGCCUUCCUCCCCCGCAGCAGCAGGUCCGGGCAGGGCGCACGGUCGGAGCGGCUGCCCCGGGGCAAGGGGGGCUGUGGGUGCCAAGAAUGCAGGGGUGGGGCCGCUCUGAGUGUCCGGCAAGGCCUCUGCAGAGAGGAUUCCCCAGGAACCCCCUCUGCCCACACCCCCUCCCGGAGCUGCCCGUGGGCGUCACCCGAGCCGCCAGGUCCAUGACCCUCCCCUGCAGCCCCCGGGCCCCGCCCCACUGCACCUCGGGACCUGCA